AAACCCUUAAACUGGGGGGACGCAUGAGAAAAGAUGACUAGGUUAUUGAAUUCCGAGUUGAGUCCACGGACUCAGCGCAUCAUUGGAUCGAGUGCCAAGAAAAGCCCCAGCGUAUGCUAAGCGACCCGUACCGCAAACCGACACAGGUGGGUGGGUAGAAUAUACCAAGGCGUAAGAGUGAAACCUGGUAAGGAACUCGGCAAAUUAGCCCCGUAACUUCGGAAGAAGGGGUGCCUGCAGCGAUGCAGGCCGCAGAGAAAUGGCCCAACCGACUGUUUAUCAAAAACACAGCACUCUGCAAAGACGCAAGUCGAAGUAUAGGGUGUGACACGUGACCAAUGCCGAAAGAUUAAGGCAAGGGGUUAGCCGCAAGGCGAAGCUCUAAACCCAAGUCCCGGUGAAUGUCGGCCGUAACUAUAACGGUCCUAAGGCAGCGAAAUUCCUUGUCGGGUAAGUUCCGACCUGCACGAAUCGUGAAACGAGUUGGGCACUGUCUCAACCAGGCGCUCAGUGAAAUUGUAGUGGCGGUGAAGAUGCCGCCUACCCGCAGAAGGACGGAAAGACCCUAUAGACCUUAACUGCAAGCUGUCGUUGAUUCUUCGGUUUUAAUGCUCAGAGUAAGUGGGAGACGCUGAAGACGCCCUUUAGGGGGCGUCCGAGUCAUCAAUGAGACACCACCCUUUGAAACUGGAGGAUCUAACCCUGAGCCGUGAAUCCGGCCAGAGGACCGUGUCAGCCGGUCAGUUUUACUGGGGCGGUAUCCUCCCAAAGAGUAACGGAGGAGCGCGAAGGGGGCUCAGCCCGGUUGGCAACCCGGGUGUCGAGUGCAUGGGCAUAAGCCCGCCUAACUGUGAGACCAACAAGUCGAGCAGAUGCGAAAGCAGGCCCAAGUGAUCCGGCGGUAGAAAGUGGAAUUGCCGUCGCUCAACGGAUAAAAGGUACCUUAGGGAUAACAGGCUGGUCACGCCCAAGAGUUCAUAUCGACGGCGUGGUUUGGCACCUCGAUGUCGGCUCGUCGCAUCCUGGGGCUGGAGAAGGUCCCAAGGGUCCGGCUGUCCGCCGGUUAAAGCGGCACGCGAGCUGGGUUCAGAACGUCGCGAGACAGUUCGGUCCUCUAUCCUCUGUGGGCGUUGGAAAAUUGAGGGGUUCAGACCUUAGUACGAGAGGACCGGGUCUGACGCACCACUGGUGCAUCGGUUGUACUGUCAAGUGCAUGGCCGAGUAGCUAAGUGCGGACGGGAUAAGCGCUGAAAGCAUCUAAGCGCCAAGCCCUUCCCAAGAUGAGUUUUCCCUACAGGUUCGUGGAAGACCACCACGUUGAUAGGUCGCAGGUGUAAGUGCAGCAAUGUAUUGAGCCGAGCGAUACUAAUUACCAAUUGACUUCAUCAU
rnacentral:rRNA from 1 species